AUGCUCUCUUCCGAUGGGCCUCCUCUACUCGAUGGUUGCCACUGUUUGGUACGGUUUCCUGUUGUCGCUUGCGGCGAGUCUUGUGUCUGUUUCUCCUCAUUGAGGAUGUGUACGGUUGUUUCUGUUGUUAUACCUGUUUUGGAGGCCGUGGUAACUCGAUGCCCCCCGCGCUCAACCUUUCUGUUGUACACAGAAGCAUAUUUGUCCAAUUCUCAGACUAAUUUUUUGAAAGAAACCACAGUUCAUUACAAUGCCAAUUAUGGAUAUGGAUCCAUCUUGCUGCGCUGGAUGAAGGACUAG
rnacentral:rRNA from 1 species